rnacentral:rRNA from 1 species
UAUGCUUUUCCUGAAGCUUAAGCCAUGCAUGUCUCCGACUAAGAGGUGCAAUCUCUCUGAAUCUGCGAACGGCUCCGCACACCAGUUGUAAACCAUAGCAGUGUACCCGCCCGGGCCCGCAAGGGUUCGGGCAACGCAAACAUACUCGCGCAUAUACGGAUAUCCCUGGUAAUUCUGAGGCUAAUACGUGACCACACUGUACCUGGGCCGGCUUCGGUUGGCCUGGGGAACGUGCGGCAAUUCGACUGGCAAAAAAAAGAUCAUGAUUGACCGUACGUUCUGACCACCAUCCAAAAGGGCUUGGAGUCCGUCAUAUACCUCCGGGUAAUUGACUAUCUUCUUUCCCUGGUGGCCACUGCAUCGGGCUUCUGACCUAUCAACUAGACGGCAGCGUAAGGGACAUGCUAUGGUGACAACGGGUACAGAGGAUAAGGGUUCGAUCCUGGAGAGUGGGCCUGAGAGAUUGCUCAUACUUCUAAGGAAGGCAGCAGGCGCGCAACGUUCCCCUUGGGCAUCGCUCGAGGGCGUUACGGGAAAUAUGAAUGCUUGCCAUACGGUAGGCAAUUCAAAUGGGUUUGUUCUAAACAAGCUCUCGAGUAACAAUUAGAGGA